rnacentral:rRNA from 1 species
UACGUAGGGACCAAGCGUUGUUCGGAUUUACUGGGCGUAAAGGGCGCGUAGGCGGCGCGGUAAGUCACUUGUGAAAUCUCUGAGCUUAACUCCGAACGGCCAAGUGAUACUGCAGUGCUAGAGUGUGGGAGAGGCAUAUGGAAUGCCCGGUGUAGCGGUAAAAUGCGUUAAUAUCGGGUAGAACACCAAAGGCGAAAGCAAUAUGCUGGAGCACAACUGACGCUCAUGAACGAAAGCGUGGGUAGCGAAAGGG